rnacentral:rRNA from 1 species
GACAGAGGCCUCGAGCGUUAGGCGGAAUCACUGGGCUUAAAGCGUGUGUAGGCGGAUCGUUAAGUACCUUGUGAAAUCCCACGGCUCAACCGUGGAACGGCUGGGUAUACUGGCGGUCUUGGGCCAUUCAGGGGCGACUGGAACAAGCGGUGGAGCGGAUGGAAAUGCGUAGAUAUCGCUUGGAACGCCGGAAGGUGAAAACAGGUCGCUGGGGAUGUGCCGACGCUGAGACACGAAAGCCAGGGGAGCAAACGGG